rnacentral:lncRNA from 1 species
AGGAGUAUAAAACAAGAAAUAUACUCACUGGAGAAGCAGCCUGGGAGCAGGAUGCAAAUGGCAACGGCCAGGGCCAAGCAGCCACUGGUUCGGGAUGGGAGCAGGAUGCAAAUGGCAAUGGCCAGGGCCAAGCAGCCACUGGUUCGGGACGGGUGACAAGAUAUGGCCAUUGCCUGCGGAAGCCGUGCUGGGCAGAGCAGAUACUACGUUUUACGCCGGUGCCGUCGUCUAUGGUCGUUUACAUCAGGGUGUGGGUUGAUCGACUAUAUAUACUACGGGGUAAAUUUCGUUCCCUUCUGAGCAGAGAACGUUGCUUCUCCCCUGCCUUGCCCUGUCAUUACUCCAAAGGAUGCCCAAUUCUUCACCCUUUUCUGAAUUUGCCCACAAGAAAUGGGCAUGCUCUCACUUUUUGCCAUCUUCUUUUUGGCAAAGAUUUGCAACACUUCACCGGC